GACGAACGCUGGCGGCGUGCUUAACACAUGCAAGUCGAACGGAAAGGCCCUGCUUUUGUGGGGUGCUCGAGUGGCGAACGGGUGAGUAACACGUGAGUAACCUGCCCUUGACUUUGGGAUAACUUCAGGAAACUGGGGCUAAUACCGGAUAGGAGCUCCUGCUGCAUGGUGGGGGUUGGAAAGUUUCGGCGGUUGGGGAUGGACUCGCGGCUUAUCAGCUUGUUAGUGGGGUAGUGGCUUACCAAGGCUUUGACGGGUAGCCGGCCUGAGAGGGUGACCGGCCACAUUGGGACUGAGAUACGGCCCAGACUCCUACGGGAGGCAGCAGUGGGGAAUAUUGCACAAUGGGCGGAAGCCUGAUGCAGCAACGCCGCGUGCGGGAUGGCGGCCUUCGGGUUGUAAACCGCUUUCGCCUGUGACGAAGCGUGAGUGACGGUAAUGGGUAAAGAAGCACCGGCUAACUACGUG
rnacentral:rRNA from 1 species